UACAGGGGGUGCAAACGUUGCUCGGAAUUAUUGGGCGUAAAGCGCGCGUAGGCGGCUACUUAAGUCGGAUGUGAAAGCCCUUGGCUCAACUGAGGAAGUGCACCCGAAACUGAGUGGCUAGAGUACGAAAGAGGGUCGCGGAAUUCCCGGUGUAGAGGUGAAAUUCGUAGAUAUCGAGAGGAACACCUGCGGCGAAGGCGGGUUGCUGGGCUGAUACUGACGCUGAGGCGCGAAAGCCAGGGGAGCGAACGGG
rnacentral:rRNA from 1 species